CUGGCGUUCCCUUUGCUAUUGAGGUGUGUGGUGUUAUCAUGCAAAGAUCUAAAGAGGCUAUAUAAGGCAUCUUCUAUAAGGCCUUCAGAAAAAAGGUUGUGGAUGCCUAGGAGUCUGGUGGCGCAGGUUUCAAACGACUGCCGAUUUGUCCAGGACUGGUGUUCUAGCAAAUUCAGCCCAAGAGAAGACCGUCUGAUGCAAAAAGAAGUCUCCCUAAAUCCCCAAAAUUUCAUCACAGGAUCUGCUAGACUAAAAGAAAUGCCCAGGAGCUGCACUAUAUACAUAAUUGGAUGUGCCCCGCCUUGAGCCCGCUGCUUCCUUGGAUAGGCUCCAGGUUCUCCCGUGACCCUGAAAAGGAGUAAGAAUGGAUGGAUGGAUGGAUGGAUGGAUGGAUGGAGGGAUGGAUGGAUGGAUGGAUGGAUGGAUGGAUGGAUGGAUUUUCUCUUCUCUUCUCUUUUUUGUGACUAGAGGUGGAUGGGGACAGGUGUAAGAGAUUGAGAGUUGUGGAUGCACACAAAAAACUCACCAUUGUCUAGAAUGUAAUACUCACCAUUGUCUGUGAUGUAACACGAUGUCCCAAAUAUUACAUGUUACAUAAAACUUAUUCAAGUGUGAUGACAAACGAAAUAUGAUGUGGGAUUUAAAAAAAAACAACCUAAAAUGUUACAUAAUGAAAAUGACUCAAAGUGAAGCAAAUAUACAUGUAGAACAUCCUGAACCUGAAAGGAAAAACUGCAUGAUUGAAGCAGGAACACGCUGUACACACCUGUACUUAGUAACCUUUUGCUAGAGCUGUUCAUGCUGAAGUGAUGACUUGAUUAUCUUUUAUGACCGUAAGCUCUUUCAGCACAGUGUAUGCUGUAGCGUGGCUUUUUCCAGAAAUUUAUGGCAUUCGCACAUUUGAUACUUCAGAUGAUAUUAUGCAGAAGAGGAGAUUUAAUGUGACUACAGUGCAAACAACUUUUUGCCUCUUCUAAUCAGUCUGUUACUGAUAUCAGAGAAAGCACUAGUUAUUAUAUGUAAUACUGUAAUAAAAAUGUCACUUUCCUUUGAAGUGAUGAAGUACCAAAUACAGAUUGUUCCUGAAAGAACAAGAGGGGAUGUAGAUAAUCUAGUCGGACAAUCUAACUGGUGCACAAUUAAAGCUCAGAAACUGCUUUCUUCUUGUCUUCUCUUUCUAACAUUCAAGGUAAGAUCUUAUAGUAUAUUACACAUAUGGAGCUGUUGAAGGAUUUUUUUUUGUUUGUUUUCAAUAUGCUGAUAAAAAAUUAUAUUUCAGUCACUUACA